CCUACGGGUGGCAGCAGUGAGGAAUAUUGGUCAAUGGCCGUAAGGCUGAACCAGCCAAGCCGCGUGAGGGAAGAAGGUUCUAUGGUUUGUAGACUUCUUUUAUAGGGGAAUAAAGGUAUGCACGUGUGGAUAUAUGACUGUACCCUAUGAAUAAGCAUCGGCUAACGCCGUGCCAGCAGCCGCGGUAAUACGGAGGAUGCGAGCGUUAUCCGGAUUUAUUGGGUUUAAAGGGUGCGUAGGUUGUUUGUUAAGUCAGCGGUGAAAGCUUGUGGCUCAACCAUAGAAUUGCCGUUGAAACUGGAAGACUUGAGUGUGUUUGAGGUAGGCGGAAUGCGUGGUGUAGCGGUGAAAUGCAUAGAUAUCGCGCAGAACUCCGAUUGCGAAGGCAGCUUACUAGGCCAUAACUGACGCUGAGGCACGAAAGCGUGGGGAUCAAACAGGAUUAGAUACCCUAGUAGUC
rnacentral:rRNA from 1 species